AGUGAACGCUGCGGCAGGCCUAACACAUGCAAGUCGAGCGGCAGCGCGGGGGCAACCCUGGCGGCGAGCGGCGGACGGGUGAGGAAUUCGUCGGAAUCUGCCUUUUUGUGGGGGAUAACGUAGGGAAACUUACGCUAAUACCGCAUACGACCUACGGGUGAAAGUGGGGGACCGCAAGGCCUCACGCAGAAAGAUGAGCCGACGACCGAUUAGCUGGUUGGUGGGGUAAAGGCCCACCAAGGCGACGAUCGGUAGCUGGUCUGAGAGGAUGAUCAGCCACACUGGGACUGAGACACGGCCCAGACUCCUACNGGAGGCAGCAGUGGGGAAUAUUGGACAAUGGGCGCAAGCCUGAUCCAGCCAUGCCGCGUGUGUGAAGAAGGCCUUCGGGUUGUAAAGCACUUUUGUCCGGAAAGAAAUCCUUCAGCCCAAUACGUUGGGGGGAUGACGGUACCGGAAGAAUAAGCACCGGCUAACUUCGNGCCAGCAGCCGCGGUAAU
rnacentral:rRNA from 1 species